UGGGGAAUCUUGCGCAAUGGGCGGAAGCCUGACGCAGCAACGCCGCGUGCGGGAGGAAGGCCUUCGGGUUGUAAACCGCUUUCAGGAGGGACGAAGCCACUUGGGUUAAUAGCCCGUAGGGUGACGGUACCUCCAGAAGAAGCCCCGGCUAACUACGUGCCAGCAGCCGCGGUAAUACGUAGGGGGCAAGCGUUGUCCGGAAUCAUUGGGCGUAAAGAGCGUGUAGGCGGCUUGGUAAGUCUCGCGUGAAAUCUUGCGGCUCAACCGCAAGCUGUCGUGAGAAACUACCUGGCUAGAAUCCGGAAGAGGAGAGCGGAAUUCCUGGUGUAGCGGUGGAAUGCGCAGAUAUCAGGAAGAACACCCGUGGCGAAGGCGGCUCUCUGGGACGGUAUUGACGCUGAGACGCGAAAGCGUGGGGAGCGAACAGGAUUAGAUACCCCCGUAGUCC
rnacentral:rRNA from 1 species